GGAGUUAGCCGGUGCUUCUUCUGUGAGUGAUGUCCUUCCUGCCGGCUAUUAACCCGCAGGCCUUCUUCCUCACUGAAAGUGCUUUACAACCCGAAGGCCUUCUUCACACACGCGGCAUGGCUGGAUCAGGGUUGCCCCCAUUGUCCAAUAUUCCCCACUGCUGCCUCCCGUAGGAGUCUGGGCCGUGUCUCAGUCCCAGUGUGGCUGAUCAUCCUCUCAGACCAGCUACGGAUCGUCGCCUUGGUGAGCCGUUACCUCACCAACCAGCUAAUCCGACAUAGGCUCAUCCGAUAGCGCGAGGCCCGAAGAUCCCCCGCUUUCCCCCGUAGGGCGUAUGCGGUAUUAGCCUGGGUUUCCCCAGGUUAUCCCCCACUACCGGGCAGAUUCCUAUGCAUUACUCACCCGUCCGCCGCUCGCCACCAGGGAGCAAGCUCCCCGUGCUGCCGCUCGACUUGCAUGUGUUAGGCCUGCCGCCAGCGUUCAAUCUGAGCCAGAAUCAAACUCUGA
rnacentral:rRNA from 1 species